AGGGCGCACGGUGGAUGCCUUGGCACUAGAAGCCGAUGAAGGACGUUACUAACGACGAUAUGCUUUGGGGAGCUGUAAGUAAGCUUUGAUCCAGAGAUUUCCGAAUGGGGAAACCCAGCAUGAGUUAUGUCAUGUUAUCGAUAUGUGAAUACAUAGCAUAUCAGAAGGCACACCCGGAGAACUGAAACAUCUUAGUACCCGGAGGAAGAGAAAGAAAAUUCGAUUCCCUUAGUAGCGGCGAGCGAAACGGGAAGAGCCCAAACCAACAAGCUUGCUUGUUGGGGUUGUAGGACACUCUAUACGGAGUUACAAAGGACGACAUUAGACGAAUCAUCUGGAAAGAUGAAUCAAAGAAGGUAAUAAUCCUGUAGUCGAAAAUGUUGUCUCUCUUGAGUGGAUCCUGAGUACGACGGAGCACGUGAAAUUCCGUCGGAAUCUGGGAGGACCAUCUCCUAAGGCUAAAUACUCUCUAGUGACCGAUAGUGAACCAGUACCGUGAGGGAAAGGUGAAAAGCACCCCGGAAGGGGAGUGAAAUAGAACCUGAAACCGUGUGCUUACAAGUAGUCAGAGCCCGUUAAUGGGUGAUGGCGUGCCUUUUGUAGAAUGAACCGGCGAGUUACGAUUUGAUGCAAGGUUAAGCAGUAAAUGUGGAGCCGUAGCGAAAGCGAGUCUGAAUAGGGCGUUUAGUAUUUGGUCGUAGACCCGAAACCAGGUGAUCUACCCUUGGUCAGGUUGAAGUUCAGGUAACACUGAAUGGAGGACCGAACCGACUUACGUUGAAAAGUGAGCGGAUGAACUGAGGGUAGCGGAGAAAUUCCAAUCGAACCUGGAGAUAGCUGGUUCUCUCCGAAAUAGCUUUAGGGCUAGCCUCAAGUGAUGAUUAUUGGAGGUAGAGCACUGUUUGGACGAGGGGCCCCUCUCGGGUUACCGAAUUCAGACAAACUCCGAAUGCCAAUUAAUUUAACUUGGGAGUCAGAACAUGGGUGAUAAGGUCCGUGUUCGAAAGGGAAACAGCCCAGACCACCAGCUAAGGUCCCAAAAUAUAUGUUAAGUGGAAAAGGAUGUGGCGUUGCCCAGACAACUAGGAUGUUGGCUUAGAAGCAGCCAUCAUUUAAAGAGUGCGUAAUAGCUCACUAGUCGAGUGACACUGCGCCGAAAAUGUACCGGGGCUAAACAUAUUACCGAAGCUGUGGAUUGUCCUUUGGACAAUGGUAGGAGAGCGUUCUAAGGGCGUUGAAGCAUGAUCGUAAGGACAUGUGGAGCGCUUAGAAGUGAGAAUGCCGGUGUGAGUAGCGAAAGACGGGUGAGAAUCCCGUCCACCGAUUGACUAAGGUUUCCAGAGGAAGGCUCGUCCGCUCUGGGUUAGUCGGGUCCUAAGCUGAGGCCGACAGGCGUAGGCGAUGGAUAACAGGUUGAUAUUCCUGUACCACCUAUAAUCGUUUUAAUCGAUGGGGGGACGCAGUAGGAUAGGCGAAGCGUGCGAUUGGAUUGCACGUCUAAGCAGUAAGGCUGAGUAUUAGGCAAAUCCGGUACUCGUUAAGGCUGAGCUGUGAUGGGGAGAAGACAUUGUGUCUUCGAGUCGUUGAUUUCACACUGCCGAGAAAAGCCUCUAGAUAGAAAAUAGGUGCCCGUACCGCAAACCGACACAGGUAGUCAAGAUGAGAAUUCUAAGGUGAGCGAGCGAACUCUCGUUAAGGAACUCGGCAAAAUGACCCCGUAACUUCGGGAGAAGGGGUGCUCUUUAGGGUUAACGCCCAGAAGAGCCGCAGUGAAUAGGCCCAAGCGACUGUUUAUCAAAAACACAGGUCUCUGCUAAACCGUAAGGUGAUGUAUAGGGGCUGACGCCUGCCCGGUGCUGGAAGGUUAAGAGGAGUGGUUAGCUUCUGCGAAGCUACGAAUCGAAGCCCCAGUAAACGGCGGCCGUAACUAUAACGGUCCUAAGGUAGCGAAAUUCCUUGUCGGGUAAGUUCCGACCCGCACGAAAGGCGUAACGAUUUGGGCACUGUCUCAACGAGAGACUCGGUGAAAUCAUAGUACCUGUGAAGAUGCAGGUUACCCGCGACAGGACGGAAAGACCCCGUGGAGCUUUACUGUAGCCUGAUAUUGAAAUUCGGCACAGCUUGUACAGGAUAGGUAGGAGCCUUUGAAACGUGAGCGCUAGCUUACGUGGAGGCGCUGGUGGGAUACUACCCUAGCUGUGUUGGCUUUCUAACCCGCACCACUUAUCGUGGUGGGAGACAGUGUCAGGCGGGCAGUUUGACUGGGGCGGUCGCCUCCUAAAAGGUAACGGAGGCGCUCAAAGGUUCCCUCAGAAUGGUUGGAAAUCAUUCAUAGAGUGUAAAGGCAUAAGGGAGCUUGACUGCGAGACCUACAAGUCGAGCAGGGUCGAAAGACGGACUUAGUGAUCCGGUGGUUCCGCAUGGAAGGGCCAUCGCUCAACGGAUAAAAGCUACCCCGGGUAUAACAGGCUUAUCUCCCCCAAGAGUUCACAUCGACGGGGAGGUUUGGCACCUCGAUGUCGGCUCAUCGCAUCCUGGGGCUGUAGUCGGUCCCAAGGGUUGGGCUGUUCGCCCAUUAAAGCGGUACGCGAGCUGGGUUCAGAACGUCGUGAGACAGUUCGGUCCCUAUCCGUCGUGGGCGUAGGAAAUUUGAGAGGAGCUGUCCUUAGUACGAGAGGACCGGGAUGGACAUACCUCUGGUGUACCAGUUGUCGUGCCAACGGCAUAGCUGGGUAGCUAUGUGUGGACGGGAUAAGUGCUGAAAGCAUCUAAGCAUGAAGCCCCCCUCAAGAUGAGAUUUCCCAACUUCGGUUAU
rnacentral:rRNA from 1 species